AUGCAGGUGAUGAUGAAGAUGAACACGACGCCAGAAGACGCAGGGGUGCUUCCCCGGCCGGCGACGGAGAAGAGGAGGCUGUGGGGAUUCUCGCGCCACCUUGGCAGCGGGUCCCCGGAGGAUGACCGGUGGGAUGCACACAAGAGCUCCGGCUCCUCCGCCGGAGAGCGCUGGGACGCGCCCCGGCACAAGCUCAUGCAGGUGAUGAUGAAGAUGAACACGACGCAGGGGUGCUUCCCCGGCCGGCGACGGAGAAGAGGAAGCUGUGGGGAUUCUCGCGCCACCUCGGCAGCGGAUCCCCGGAGGAUGACCGGUGGGAUGCAUCCAAGAGCUCCGGCUCCUCCGCCGGAGAGCGCUGGGACGCGCCCCGGCACAAGCUCAUGCAGGUGA
rnacentral:rRNA from 1 species